AAUCAAAGCACCAAAGGGUGCUAUAGGCAGUUAAUCAAAAACCCAAAGGCAAACUUGGCCACGUUCAGAUGAAUAGUGUAAAGAAUUAGUCAAAAUAUUUAUCUCAGGCAUUGUUCUCAGCUAUUUCUAAAGUAUCAAAUAAUGCUUGUACAGUAAUGUUUAUGUUAUGCAAUCCUACCACUUUCAAAAGUUAUUUCCAAUUUAUAUUUAUAAAGAUUCAAUGUCUGAGAUUAUACACAUACACUGUCCUAUGUUAGGGGAGAGUUUUGUGCCAGUUAAGAUGUUUAAGCCGCCACAUUCUGUAUGUACCUGUCCAUAGUGAGGACCCACUAAUGCGGUGAUUGUUGCUGUAUAUCAUAUUUAUUUUUCAUAAUUGUUUUGUACAUUUUUUAAAAUUUUAUUAAUUUCUUGUGUAUAUACUUCUGAUUUUAGUAUGAUGUCCAAGUUAUUGUAAAUGCUCUUUUGUUCCGACGUUGGAAAGUUCCAGGCGGAAAGAACUAACUAGCCGAAAAGUUCUCCAGAACUUAUUAACUACAUUGUAGUUACUUUGUUCUUCCUCUGGUUUAAAAGUUCCACCUGAACAAGUGACUAGUUGAAAUAGUUUACAUUUUUGUUAUCAUGGUUAUUGUGUUAAGGGGCCAGCAAAAGCAAUCCUUUGGGUGUAGGAGUUUCUCCCUGCAUUAAAGAUCCAUUGGUAACCUUCGACUGUUGUCUGCUCUAAGAUCUGGUUAUUGUCUCUAUGACACAUUCCCCAUUUUCACUCUCGAUUUUUUUUUACGUCUCAAAUUAUAACUGAAUUAAAAUAUGUUGAUUACGGUUUAACUGUCUUCCAUUACUAAUAUCAUAAUAAAAAAACAUUUAUUUAAACUUUCAAUAACUGUAAUAGUAAG
rnacentral:lncRNA from 1 species